rnacentral:rRNA from 1 species
GAUGAACGCUGGCGGCGUGCCUAAUACAUGCAAGUCGAGCGAAUGGAUUAAGAGCUUGCUCUUAUGAAGUUAGCGGCGGACGGGUGAGUAACACGUGGGUAACCUGCCCAUAAGACUGGGAUAACUCCGGGAAACCGGGGCUACUACCGGAUAACAUUUUGAACCGCAUGGUUGGAAAUUGAAAGGCGGCUUCGGCUGUCACUUAUGGAUGGACCAGCGUCGCAUUAGCUAGUUGGUGAGGUAACGGCUCACCAAGGCAACGAUGCGUAGCCGACCUGAGAGGGUGAUCGGCCACACUGGGACUGAGACACGGCCCAGACUCCUACGGGAGGCAGCAGUAGGGAAUCUUCCGCAAUGGACGAAAGUCUGACGGAGCAACGCCGCGUGAGUGAUGAAGGCUUUCGGGUCGUAAAACUCUGUUGUUAGGGAAGAACAAGUGCUAGUUGAAUAAGCUGGCACCUUGACGGUACCUAACCAGAAAGCCACGGCUAACUACGUGCCAGCCGCCGCAGUAA